GGGGGGAUGUAGAGUGGUUGUCUACACGUCUGAUUGAUAAUCAGAUGGUCAUGGGUUCGAUUCCCACCCCCUUCA
rfam:Aedes aegypti strain Liverpool supercont1.372 genomic scaffold, whole genome shotgun sequence.